rnacentral:sRNA from 1 species
CAUCGCUGCCCACCUUGGGCGCCUCCCUAGACUUGGGCCGCUUGUGGCAACACAGGCGGCCUUCUUUUGUCUACG